rnacentral:rRNA from 1 species
GACGAACGCUGGCGGCGUGCUUAACACAUGCAAGUCGAACGGAAAGGCCCUGCUUUUGUGGGGUGCUCGAGUGGCGAACGGGUGACUAACACGUGAGUAACCUGCCCUUGACUUUGGGAUAACUUCAGGAAACUGGGGCUAAUACCGGAUAGGAGCUCCUGCUGCAUGGUGGGGGUUGGAAAGUUUCGGCGGUUGGGGAUGGACUCGCGGCUUAUCAGCUUGUUGGUGGGGUAGUGGCUUACCAAGGCUUUGACGGGUAGCCGGCCUGAGAGGGUGACCGGCCACAUUGGGACUGAGAUACGGCCCAGACUCUUACGGGAGGCAGCAGUGGGGAAUAUUGCACAAUGGGCGGAAGCCUGAUGCAGCAACGCCGCGUGCGGGAUGACGGCCUUCGGGUUGUAAACCGCUUUCGCCUGUGACGAAGCGUGAGUGACGGUAAUGGGUAAAGAAGCACCGGCUAACUACGUG